rnacentral:misc_RNA from 1 species
GGAAGGAUCAUUAACACCGUAUCCACGUUAUCAACCAAUUGUGAACUUGUUUUCAAUCUCCCUGCACGUCAUAUCAUGAGUUGGAGUUUCUUAGGAUGGAUGAAAUGGGAAUCGUAUGAUGACGAAUGUUGGUUUACUCCUUCCUAAAUCGUCGUAUGAUUCGCUCCUGAGAAAUCACUUGUUCGGUCGUUCGACUGAACAGACAACUGUAGUAGAUCGUGUGGGUUCAAUUUCUAUUAGCCCAAACUUCUCCUUUCAUGAAGUUACUAGUAGGAAGCUAUAAGCCCAUUUCACCAUAAUUUUUGCUAGUUGACUUUUAUCUGUUACUCUUCUCGUGCGUACUUUAUUGAACGUCCGAAGGAUGACACGUUUAUUAUUUGAACGUUAAAAUUACAACUCUUAGCAAUGGAUAUCUUGGUUCUCGCAACGAUGAAGAACGCAGCGAAAUGCGAUACGUAAUGCGAAUUGCAGAAUUCAGUGAAUCAUCAAAUCUUUGAACGCAAAUUGCGCUCUUGGGUCAGUCCUAGGAGCACGCCUCUCUCAGUAUCGGUUCAACCACUGAUCAGCAGCGUAUGCAAAUACGUGUUGGCUGGAAAAUGAGAGUCUGAAUAUUCACCUAUUUAGUCUCUUUAAAUACAUUGAGUGAGCAUCAUAUUCGUACAUCUUUCGACUUCGGUUGAAAAGCUGGUCUCUGACUGGUUGUAUGAUAGUGACGUGAAUACUGACCUUCAUGGUCUCUCAUUUACGUGUAACUUUCGUCAACUAAUGAAAAGUCUAGGAUAGCUCGUGUGUGCAAAUUCGUGAUGUCUCAUGUAACGCGGCCUCGGCUGCAAUCGGCUUUCAUUCGUGAGAGUCUGAAUUUUGAUCUGAGAUGAAGCGAGACAACCCCCUGAAUUUAAGCAUAUUAAUAAGGGGAGGAAAAGAAACUAACAAGGAUUCCCCCAGUAACGGCGAGUGAAGCGGGAAGAGCUCAAUUUGAAAAUCGACUACCUAAGCGGGUCGUCGAGUUGUAGCCUAGAGACGUACUAUCAGCUGAAACCUGGGUAUAAGUUCUUUGGAAUGAGGCAUCAUAGAGGGUGAGAAUCCCGUAUAUGACCCAAAGCUUUCAGCGUACGAUGUAUGUUCAUCGAGUCGAGUUGUUUGGGAUUGCAGCUCUAAAUGGGUGGUAAGUUUCAUCUAAAGCUAAAUAAUGGCGAGAGACCGAUAGCGAACAAGUACCGUGAGGGAAAGAUGAAAAGAACUUUGAAAAGAGAGUUAAAAGUACUUGAAAUUGCUAAGAGGGAAGCGCUGACAACCAGUGCUUCACGUUGUUCAUCGUCGUCAGCCCCACUGGAAUUCGUGUGUCGUUGGAAACUCGACAUGCGAACUCGAAAGGGAGGUUGGCGGUUUAGGACAGCGGGUUAGUCAAGAUCCAUUCGAACUGUGGGAGAAGGUAGUGAGAAAGGUAGGAUACUCCGGUAUCUGUUAUAGUCUUAUUACUCUACCACGGCUUGGAUGGAGGAAGGAAUAGUGCGCUGCUUGCGGCUUAGUCCUUAGAUCCCUGCGAUUCCAGCUGCUCCUAUAGCAAUGCUAUAUCUGUGGUGAAAGGUCGUACUGGGUUUAGGUGACUCUAUGUGCUAUCACGAUCUUGUACGAAAUGGUUGUCAUCGACCCGUCUUGAAACACGGACCAAGGAGUCUAACAUCUAUGCGAGUAUUUGAGUGAAAAACUCUGAUGCGCAAUGAAAGUAAAGGCAGCUUCGGCUGUUGAGGUAGGAAUCCGGUCAAACGGAGGCACUAUCGACCGAUCAUCACUUGUGAAAGAUUUGAGUAAGAGCAUAUCUGUUGGGACCCGAAAGAUGGUGAUCUAUGCCUGAACAGGGUGAAGCCAGGAGAAAUUCUGGUGGAGGCUCGUAGCGAUACUGACGUGCAAAUCGUUCGUCUGAUUUGGGUAUAGGGGCGAAAGACUAAUCGAACCAUCUAGUAGCUGGUUCCCUC